UGGGGAAUAUUGGACAAUGGGCGCAAGCCUGAUCCAGCCAUGCCGCGUGAGUGAUGAAGGCCUUCGGGUUGUAAAGCUCUUUCGCACGCGACGAUGAUGACGGUAGCGUGAGAAGAAGCCCCGGCUAACUUCGUGCCAGCAGCCGCGGUAAUACGAAGGGGGCUAGCGUUGUUCGGAAUUACUGGGCGUAAAGGGCGCGUAGGCGGCGCAUCAAGUCAGGCGUGAAAGCCCCGGGCUUAACCUGGGAAUUGCGCUUGAGACUGGUGUGCUUGAGUACCGGAGAGGUGGGUGGAAUUCCCAGUGUAGAGGUGAAAUUCGUAGAUAUUGGGAAGAACACCGGUGGCGAAGGCGGCCCACUGGACGGUUACUGACGCUGAGGCGCGAAAGCGUGGGGAGCAAACAGG
rnacentral:rRNA from 1 species